rnacentral:rRNA from 1 species
UGAGGAAUAUUGGUCAAUGGGCGAGAGCCUGAACCAGCCAAGUCGCGUGAAGGAAGACAGUCCUAAGGAUUGUAAACUUCUUUUAUACGGGAAUAACGGGCGAUACGAGUAUUGCAUUGAAUGUACCGUAAGAAUAAGCAUCGGCUAACUCCGUGCCAGCAGCCGCGCUAAUACGGAGGAUGCGAGCGUUAUCCGGAUUUAUUGGGUUUAAAGGGUGCGUAGGUUGUUCGGUAAGUCAGCGGUGAAACCUGAGCGCUCAACGUUCAGCCUGCCGUUGAAACUGCCGGGCUUGAGUUCAGUGGCGGCAGGCGGAAUUCGUGGUGUAGCGGUGAAAUGCAUAGAUAUCACGAGGAACUCCGAUUGCGAAGGCAGCUUGCCAUACUGCGACUGACACUGAAGCACGAAGGCGUGGGUAUCAAACAGG